CAUGUCCUUUUGAUAUUUAAUUUAAGGUUUAACCUGCCCAAUGAUUAAAAAUUAAAUGGCCGCGGUAUUUUGACCGUGCAAAGGUAGCAUAAUCAUUAGUUUUUUAAUUGAAAGCUGGAAUGAAGGGUUGAAUGAGAAAAUUACUGUCUUUUAAAUAUUUAAUUAGAAUUUUAUUUUUAAGUUAAAAAGCUUAAAUUUAAUUUAUAGACGAGAAGACCCUUUAGAGUUUUAUAAAUUUAUAUAUAAAAUUUUUUAGUAAUAACUUAAUUUUAUAUAUUUUUUUUAUUUAAUUGGGGUGAUUGAAAAAUUUAAAAAACUUUUUUUUUUAUUUUACAUUUAUAUAUGAAUAAUUGAUCCAUUUUUUAUGAUUAUAAGAUUAAAUUACCUAAGGGAUAACAGCGUUAUUUUUUUUGAGAGUUCAAAUCGAAAAAAAAGUUUGCGACCUCGAUGUUGGAUUAAAAUUAAAUUAUGGUGUAGAGGCUAUAACCGCA
rnacentral:rRNA from 1 species